rnacentral:lncRNA from 12 species
GAGCCCCUGGGCCGCCUCAGAACAUGUGGGGAGGCUUCUGAAAGAUGGGGCGCUGCUUCCACUCCGGCAGGAGGUAACUGGCCCCUCAGGACAUAAGUUGAGACUUCUGGAAGCUGGGGGCCGCAUCCACAGUGACAGGAGCCUCGGCCACCUCAGAACCGGGGUGAUGCUUCGGGAGGACGUGGGGCCACGUCCACACAACCGGACGCUGAUGUCCUUAGGACCCCCAGUGUAGACUUCGGGAAAUAUGGGGAUGCGUCCAUGUGGACAGAAGACCCCAGCCUUGUCAGAGCCUGUGGUGAGGCCCCAGAAAAAUGUGGAUGCCGAUUCCACACUGACAGGAGUCUCCGGCCUCCUCAGGACACACUGUGAACGAUUGGGAUGAUUUGGGGGCACGUCCAUUCUGACAAGAGCCCCCAGCCUCCUCAGGUCUUAUGGUGAGGCUGAGGAAAAUGUGGGGCCACAUGAAGACUGAGAGGAUCCCCUUCUUCCUCAGGACCUGCACUUUGGCUUCAGGACACAUGGGGCUGCGUCUAGGCUGACAGCAACCCACAGCCUCCUCAGGACCCGCGGUGAGUUUUCAGGGGACAUGAGGCCAUGUCCAGGCUGACAGGAGUCCCUGGCUUCCUGAGAACCUGCUGUGAGGCUUCCAGAGGAUGUGAGACAUCCAGAAAGAUGUUCCUCCUCCUUCCAGAGUAGGCAUACUCCACGUUGGCAGGAGACCCGGCGUACUCAGGACCCACUGACUAUGACUCUGGAACACGUGGGGCCAUGUCCGCAUUUACCGGAGCCCAGCUUCCUCAGGACCCCCCUGGAGGACUCUGGAGGCGCCGUUGGGAGCCACGUCCAUGUCAGAAGGGACUCCUCAGAACCAUAGGUUCAGUCACUCCUCAGGAAAUGCAUCUUUAUGGAUUUGGAAAGAACUGAGAGACAUUAUUACCAAUGGUCCUAUUAUUAUGUGAAGGAUUUUUUCCUGAGAUUCUUCCCCUGUUUCAACAAACACUGAAACACUGUGAACUCCUUGGAAGACAAAUGUCAAGGAAAUAAAUGUUAUUCGUUGCAAAUUUUAAAUACA